GUCAUGUGACACUAGGUCACAUUUCAAAGAACUUGUCCCUAUAUGGCAACAUUUCCAGUGCCCCAAAAGAGUUUUCAGUCUAUGGAAUGGAAACUUUAGAUGGCGAAGAAAUCAAUCUUGGAACUUUUCUUUAUGAUCAGGAUGGGAACUCAGUCCAGACUUUCAAACUGCCUGGUCAUGAAAAAGACGUCUUCAGCUACGUGAAGCUGCAAGUUGAAAACAACUGGGGCCAUGAUGAGUUCACUUGUUUGUACAGCUUCAGGGUCCACGGGAAGCUGGCAGACUGAGGACGGGGGGUGGGGGCGGCGUCAUCUGGGUGCAGCUCAGAGGCGGGUAUGUAUAAAGAGGUAAGUAUCUGUGAAGGUGAAUCAGACUCCAAACAUGUGUAAAUUAAAAGGAUUUGUUUAACCUUGUGUUGUAGAAUUUGCAGUCGUGAAAAUAUUAGCAAAUGUUGCAAACUGUUUACGUUUUAUUUAUUGUUA